UGUAGAAAGUGGUAGUUUUUUGGUGAUUUAGGCGGUUUUAAACGCCAUUACUUGCUCCUGCUUCAUUGGUAAAAAAAUUAUUCUAUUUCACUAAUAAAGACUAUGCUAUUCAAUCGAACCUCCAUCACCAUGUGAGAACCAAGAAGAAACUCCAUCGUAACAUGAGAUUUGCGAUCUCAUCCACGAUGCUCUCCUCUGGCGGCAAUGCCGUUGUUGCUGCCUUCGAAGGAGCGCUCUUCUUUGAUUAGGUUUUCUGGCUUCGAUUUGAGGGUUCGUUGCGCCGCCGCUCAUCUCCUCGUCACCACAAGCAACACCAUCAUUGCUGUCCUCGGUGGAGCUUCUACUAUCUGGUAUAAUCUGAGAUCGCACAUCGGAGGGAGAGGGAAAGGAGAACGAGAGUGAGUUCAUCUCAAACCCUAGAGCUUGUCGCCGCCAUCGUCACCACCAUUCAUCUCAUUUCAGCCGCUUCCAUCAACCUUCUGCGUUCGAGUGAAGGCGCCUCUAUCGAUGCGUUUCCAAAUUUGGUCACUACGCCAUAGCUUAUAAGAUUGAGCGAAGCACCUAUUCCAUUAAUGUGUCUCCUCCGCCAGCGGCACCGCAUAUAUAUUAUGGAAGCAAUGGGAUGGUGAAGGAGCAGCCAAGGUUGGCUUGGGCAGCAAAUAGGGAAGCAAGGUCAACAUACCUUGCUGGCCCUGACAACUAUGACUAUGGUGCGUAUCAAUGGACCGUUCAACUUGUCACCAAUGAUAUCCGCUUGGAAAAGAUCCUUUUUCCUAUCUUCUGGGGCCUCAUGACUCUCAGAGAGCACAACAGAAUGGCUUGAAGUUGUUUUCAACAUUAUUGUAUUAACUAGUGGCCUUCUUCUUGUCAAUAUGUUGAUUGGAAACAUUAAGAUCAGAUGGUAUUGAAAACAAAAAUAAAUAUGCUUCUGCGACUGCAAGCAAUCCUCCUGGAUUAACAAAAGCUGGUUUUAGUGGCGAACAUCCGAAACAAUCUGCUAUGCACGAGCUGAAGAUUGUGGAGCCUUCUAAGGCUGAUUUGAAGCAAUUGGAGCCAAAAUCUCUUGAAGUGAAUGCUACUGUUUUGAGGCAAUCUGAUCCUGCUCGAAAAGAAGAUGUGUCAAAGAUUUAUCAAAGUUCCAAUCUACUUCUUUGUGAAAGUACCAAUAAAGGAAAGGAAGCUGUUGUAAAAAAUAUAGAGCCUGCAGUAGCCUCUUCAUCCGUUUGCUCUGGCAAUGGCGCAGAGAGAAUUUCGGGCAACCCAAACCAAAGUUUGAAGAAAAAAAGACAAGAAACUGAGGACUCUGAGUGCCACAGUGAAGUUAAUGUUCUAGAAUUGCACUUCCAUACAUGUUUACUUAUUAUCUUACCUAUGUUGACAGUUAUUCUCUAUUAACCAAAAAUUAAAUUUCUUUUACUAAUAGGAUGUUGAGGAAGAAUCAGUGGGUGUUAAAAAGGCAGGUCCAACACGAGGUGUUAAGAGAAGUCGUUCAGCCGAAGUACAUAAUCUAUCUGAAAGGAGGCGAAGAGACAGGAUCAAUGAGAAGAUGCGUGUAUUGCAAGAUCUCAUACCAAACUGCAAUAAGGGUUUGAUGUGGGAGAACUCUCAGAAGAGAGUCCAGAUGAUUGGGAAGGUUUAGAUGCAUCAGCAGCACACAUAGCUAACUUGCUGUCAACAGAACCAGCUGAUGGUGCCCCCAAACUUUUCAGCUCUGACAUGGUGCUCAUACAUGUAUUAUUUGAUGGAAAUGAUUUAUUUGGUUCUAUACCAGAAACAUUAGGACUAGUUCAGACACUUGAGGUUCUGUAGUUCAGUUUUUUAAUAAAUUUUCUCGACUCUUUCUACCAACAACAAACAACAACAAAGCCUUGUCCCACUAAGUGGGGUCGGCUCUUUCUACCAAUCUAAUUUUAUUUUUUCUCUUUAUAUUAUUUGACUAGUUAUAUAUUGUUUCUAAUGACAUCUUUUCAUUGUUAUAAUUUCAAUUUAUAACAGCCGGCUUGAUAGAAAUUUUCUGACAGAAGAGGUUCCUACAAAUCUUUGUAAGAGAUGAGUUUGGAUAAUGAAAAUGGAAUGUUAGAGCAAGAAACAAAGAUGUUGGAGCAAGUUCUCGGGAUGAAACUCACACAAGAGACCAAGAAACUAAGGUAGGCUUGUUUUAAAGUUAAUUAUAAAAGGAGGAAAUUUUUGGCCUUCAAAUCUUAUUCAUCAUCACUUAGCUAAGCUACUUGUCUUGUAUAUUCAUAUUUUAAGUAGUAAAAACAGUACUUAUUAGAUCGUUUAAAUACAUUAUUAGAUAUUAAUAUAGUUUAGGGAACUGGAUGGUAGAUUUGAUUGAUUAGUGUUUAUUGUAAUGCUUGUAUUUUGGUAAGUUUAGUAAGACAAAGUUUUGUA